AUUGAACGCUGGCGGCAGGCCUAACACAUGCAAGUCGAACGAGUGGCGGACGGGUGAGUAAUGUCUGGGAAACUGCCUGAUGGAGGGGGAUAACUACUGGAAACGGUAGCUAAUACCGCAUACCAUCAGAUGUGCCCAGAUGGGAUUAGCUUGUUGGUGGGGUAACGGCUCACAAAGGCGACGAUCCCUAGCUGGUGUGAGAGGAUGACCACCCACACGGGAACUGAGACACGGUCCAGACUCCUACGGGAGGCACAAGUGGGGAAUAUUGCACAAUGGGCGCAAUCCUGAUGCACCCAUGCGGCGUGUAUGAAGCAGGCCUUCGGGUUGUAAAGUACUUUCAGCGGGGAGGCGUUACCCGAAGAAGAAGCACCGGCUAACUCCGUUCCAGCAGCCGCGGUAAUAC
rnacentral:rRNA from 1 species